UACGAAGGGAGCUAGCGUUGUUCGGAAUCACUGGGCGUAAAGCGCACGUAGGCGGAUGUGUCAGUCAGGGGUGAAAUCCCGGAGCUCAACUUCGGAACUGCCUUUGAUACAGCACGUCUUGAGUCCGAUAGAGGUGGGUGGAAUUCCUAGUGUAGAGGUGAAAUUCGUAGAUAUUCGGAAGAACACCAGUGGCGAAGGCGGCUCACUGGCCCGGUUCUGACGCUGAGGUGCGAAAGCGUGGGGAGCAAACAGGG
rnacentral:rRNA from 1 species